UACGGAGGGUGCGAGUGUUACCCGGAUUUACUGGGCGUAAAGGGCGUGUAGGCGGUUUUCUAAGUCCGGGGCUAAAGACCAGGGCUCAACCCUGGGUUUGCCUUGGAUACUGGAAAGCUCGACGGCUGGAGGGGGCAGCUGAAUUUCCAGAGUAGCGGUGAAAUGCGCAGAUACCGGAAGGAACGCCAAUAGCGAAGGCAGCUGCCUGGACAGUACGUGACGCUGAGGCGCGAAAGCGUGGGGAGCAAACCGG
rnacentral:rRNA from 1 species